rnacentral:rRNA from 1 species
UUGGAGGGCAAGUCUGGUGCCAGCAGCCGCGGUAAUUCCAGCUCCAAUAGCGUAUAUUAAGGUUGUUGCAGUUAAAAAGCUCGCAGUUGAAUUUCGGGGUUAGCAGGUUGGUCGUGCCAAUGGUAUGUACUGGCCUUGCUGAUUCCUCCCUCUUGAUGAGCCGUAAUGCCAUUAAUUUGGUGUUGCGAGGAAUCAGGACUGUUACUUUGAAAAAAUUAGAGUGUUUAAAGCAGGC